UAGGGUUUGAUCAUGGCUCAGAACGUANGCGGCGGCACGCCUAAUACAUGCAAGUCGAACGAAGUAGCAAUACUUAGUGGCGAACGGGUGAGUAUAAUGUGGGUAUCUGCCUUUUGGUGAGGAAUAACAUGGGGAAACUUGUGCUAAUACCUCAUAAGCCUUCACAGGGAAAGUUUUAACGCCAAAAGAUGAGCCCGCACUUGAUUAGCUAGUUGGUAAGGUAAAAGCUUACCAAGGCUACGAUCAAUAGCUGAUCUGAGAGGAUGAUCAGCCACAUUGGGACUGAGACACGGCCCAAACUCCUACGGGAGGCAGCAGUAGGGAAUCUUGCACAAUGGGGGAAACCCUGAUGCAGCGAUGCCGCGUGAGUGAAGAAGGCCUUUGGGUUGUAAAGCUCUUUCGUCGGGGAAGAAAAUGACUGUACCCGAAUAAGAAGGUCCGGCUAACUUCGUGCCAGCAGCCGCGGUAAUACGAAGGGACCUAGCGUAGUUCGGAAUUACUGGGCUUAAAGAGCUCGUAGGUGGUUAGAAAAGUUGGUGGUGAAAUCCCAAGGCUUAACCUUGGAACUGCCAUCAAAACUUUUUGACUAGAGUAUGAUAGAGGAAAGUGGAAUUUCUAGUGUAGAGGUGAAAUUCGUAGAUAU
rnacentral:rRNA from 1 species